ensembl:lncRNA
CUGCAAGUAAAACCACCACAUUUGAAAGAAUGCAAAAAGCGCUUUGGCAAAUCGUUAUCUUUGCAGUGGUAUCUUUGCUCUAUAUAUUUACACAAAUGCACAGAAAGAUAUUAUAAAUUAAUUACACAGGAAAAUCUUACUCAUCUCUGUAGAAAAACAGGAUAGAGAUUUCACGUGUGGCUCAGCUCUAGGACGAUGUGAUACUAGUGUCUGUGCUGUUUUCAAGAUGCAAUUUAUCUAACACUGGGAAAGGGUAUGGUUUGGCUGACUAAACUCUGGAGUGAUGCUGAAUGAUAAAAGUGCUAAGGGGAAUUUUUGGGGCAACUAAAAGACAACGUAUAAGACUCUGUAGGUGUUAAAAAACCCAAAAAAACCUUUUUCUGGUGGUUGUAUAAAAAGCUUACUGACAUUUUAUGACACGGACUAACCUCCUCCCAUACCUUUAACCCCCUCUUGCCAAAACUAACUGCCUCAAAGCUGGGUGUAACCAUGCUCACACAGAGUUCUUAUUUUGACACUUUGGCUCAUUUCGCCCCUCUUUGUGAGAUUUGUUGUACCUUCAGUGUUCUAAACUGGAGUGUGCUUUAGUGUACAUGGGCAUGGACAGGGAGAAGGACAAGCAGACAAGUCCACUCUGCCAUGGGGUCUGUUGCAGGUGAGGGAUGGCUCUAUGGCUGCAGGAACAUGUUGAGCCAGGUGGCUUCUGGAAAAAGACCUGCCACAAGCUAAGAAAGCUGUAAUACUUAGAGGCAUGGUGUGGAAAUUAGGGUCAGUGGACUGGUGGGGAUGCUUGUGGGACAGUGUGCCCUGGGAUGGGUUUGUAUGAGCAGAAGCACAUUUGCAUGAUGAUAAUGGCUGGGUCUACGUUGUGUUAGAUUGUCUUCUCCAGAAUUUGCUCUUCCAGACAGGCUGGCUCCUUUCCACAGUGAAACUGAGGUAUGGUGACUUUGCUGUUAGUGCAGAGAUCUGAGGUAGCUCUCACACAUAGGGUUUCCAGAAGCCCCUGCCUCAUCUCAUCUGCAUCCUGGUGUCUCCGAGAAGACUUGGGGCUCCUGAACUUCCUCUUGGGCUGCCCAGCCUGGCUCUUUCAGGGUCCUGCACCCUGGGGAAGCUCUGGGCUGGGUUCAUCCCAGACAAUCCAUGGGCCAGUUGGUAGGGGGAAGGACAUGUCCAUGGAGGUAGAUUUGGAUCUUCAAGGGGCUGUUGAAAUUAUUCUUCAUAAGGACCUCUUGUUUUUGGUUCCAGAGGGAGCCUUAUGUGAGCAGGGUUUGCUGCUCUUACUUUCCCAAAGGCACCCGGGUGGAAAUGCCCACUUUGGCCCAAGCUGCCCUUUGCAGACAGAUGCACAGACAAAUGCUGGCCGAAGGUCUCAGUGCAGCUCCAUGAGAUGCCUCUGCUGCCCGACGUAUUUUAACCAGAAGAGCCACAAGCAAACUGUGCAGCGGCCUUAGACUCUGUAGACAAACCAAGGUGCUACAAGACCCUUCUGGCAACAAGGCUCCAAGAGCCUCUGUGCCCCACAACCACAGAAAACAGCUGGCAGUCAGAAGGAGGAGAGGAGGUCUGGGAUAUGCAGCCAUCCUGCUGAAGCUCGGGACAGCUAGGAGAGGUGGCAGUGCAGCAGAGUGUGGUCUCUGUGGUCAAGGAGCUCCAAGAGGCUCUGCAGUUAAUGCUGCCAGAGGACACGUGGAGACAGCAAAGGAAAGCACAGUGACAGCACUCUGAAGGCCUUGUGUCAUACAUGAGAGCAGAAGUGCCACCAAGAUGAGUUUUGGGCCUUGUCACACUUAGCAAAAAUGUAAAAACUGAUUUAGUAAAAUUCUUUUAUGUAGCUCUUUCUCAACAGUUUUUUUAAUCUUGCAAAAAAGCUCUAUAGAGGUAAACAUUCCCACUAUCUACUGCUAGAAUAAAGGCACUUAAAAUUUUUGUUUCCA